UCGUAACAAGGUUUCCGUAGGUGAACCUGCGGAAGGAUCAUUACCGAGUGCGGGCUGCCUCCGGGCGCCCAACCUCCCACCCGUGACUACCUAACACUGUUGCUUCGGCGGGGAGCCCCCCAGGGGGCGAGCCGCCGGGGACCACUGAACUUCAUGCCUGAGAGUGAUGCAGUCUGAGCCUGAAUACAAAUCAGUCAAAACUUUCAACAAUGGAUCUCUUGGUUCCGGCAUCGAUGAAGAACGCAGCGAACUGCGAUAAGUAAUGUGAAUUGCAGAAUUCAGUGAAUCAUCGAGUCUUUGAACGCACAUUGCGCCCCCUGGCAUUCCGGGGGGCAUGCCUGUCCGAGCGUCAUUGCUGCCCUCAAGCCCGGCUUGUGUGUUGGGUCGUCGUCCCCCCCCCGGGGGACGGGCCCGAAAGGCAGCGGCGGCACCGUGUCCGGUCCUCGAGCGUAUGGGGCUUUGUCACCCGCUCGAUUAGGGCCGGCCGGGCGCCAGCCGGCGUCUCCAACCUUAUUUUUCUCAGGUUGACCUCGGAUCAGGUAGGGAUACCCGCUGAACUUAAGCAUAUCAAUAA
rnacentral:misc_RNA from 1 species